rnacentral:tRNA from 1 species
GCCUUGCUAGCUCAAUCGGUAGAGCGUGAGACUCUUAAUCUCAAGGUUGUGGGUUCGACCCCCGCGUGGGGCU